GUCAGAUUGGCCGAGCGGUCUAAGGCGCCAGAUUUAAGCUCUGGUUCCCCUAAGGGAGCGUGGGUUCGAACCCCACCAUCUGACA
rnacentral:tRNA from 1 species